GACGAACGCUGGCGGCGUGCUUAACACAUGCAAGUCGAACGGAAAGGCCCUGCUUUUGUGGGGUGCUCGAGUGGCGAACGGGUGAGUAACACGUGAGUAACCUGCCCUUGACUUUGGGAUAACUUCAGGAAACUGGGGCUAAUACCGGAUAGGAGCUCCUGCUGCAUGGUGGGGGUUGGAAAGUUUCGGCGGUUGGGGAUGGACUCGCGGCUUAUCAGCUUGUUGGUGGGGUAGUGGCUUACCAAGGCUUUGACGGGUAGCCGGCCUGAGAGGGUGACCGGCCACAUUGGGACUGAGAUAAGGCCCAGACUCCUACGGGAGGCAGCAGUGGGGAAUAUUGCACAAUGGGCGGAAGCCUGAUGCAGCAACGCCGCGUGCGGGAUGACGGCCUUCGGGUUGUAAACCGCUUUCGCCUGUGACGAAGAGUGAGUGACGGUAAUGGGUAAAGAAGCACCGGCUAACUACGUG
rnacentral:rRNA from 1 species